AUAAUGACCAGGGGCUGGGUCAGAAGAACUUCAGAUUGAGCCUCUUGAAACAUUUGCUCUUGGAAUUCUCCCUCUCAGGAAACUAACAGCCUGCUAUGAAGCCCAAGCCACAAAGAGAGGCCAAGGGGAAAUAAACAGAGUGUGAUUAUAUGCAAAACCUGCAAGAAUGAGGACCUCCAAACUCAGUGUACAGAGUGAUUUUCUGCUGAAACAAUUGGAAAAUAAAAGAGACAUCAGUGUGUGAAUGACGACUUUCUGUUGCUGACUUGGAAGACAGAGGAAUUGGGUCAUGAGCCAAGGAAGGUGGGCAGCUUCUAAAAGGCGGAAAAGAACUGAAUUGAAUUCAAAUCAAAAAAGGUCUGAACCUCAUUUAAAAGAUGGUUUUGUAACUGAAGAAUUGAAAGGAUUUCUUUAUGAACUAGCAUCAUCUUAAGACAAAGGAUAAGGACCCUGAAGACAGCAUGAUAGUGAAUCCCAGAGGUGCUCUCCAAAAUGGUGCUAAUACAGCCAAGAAUACAGGUAUGAGAAAGGAUAUGGAAGGGUGCCUUACAGGAGAAAGCACCACUUAUCCACCAAGAUGGCAGAGGCCUUCUUUUCUGACCUGUGGUACAAAAAAAAAGCAGAGACAAUAGGCAAAAAAGAGCACACGAGAAGAAACAUAGAAUGAAAGAAAAGAGAGGGACAAAGAGAAGAAAAAUAAGAUCACAUGAAGGUGAUAAUACAAUUUUAUGUCGAACACGGCAAUUUGCAAUCCACAAGCUGAUCUAAUAUUUAAUGUUUAAGAAAUCCAGGCUGUGUAAAUAAAUUUUGGAAAUGAGAACUCUCCAAGAGCAGACUCAAGGUGAUCUGGGCUGGAUCUUACUCCUUCCAUGUCUCAGGUGGCCUUCCUUUUGUGCCCCAGGAGGACAACAUUGUCAAAUAAAGUUUAGCCUAAAGCUGA